UAACGGAAGGCAGCAGUGGGGAAUAUUGCACAAUGGGCGCAAGCCUGAUGCAGCCAUGCCGCGUGUAUGAAGAAGGCCUUCGGGUUGUAAAGUACUUUCAGUCGUGAGGAAGGUGUUAAGGUUAAUAACCUUAGCAAUUGACGUUAGCGACAGAAGAAGCACCGGCUAACUCCGUGCCAGCAGCCGCGGUAAUACGGAGGGUGCGAGCGUUAAUCGGAAUUACUGGGCGUAAAGGGCACGCAGGCGGUUAAUUAAGUUGGAUGUGAAAUCCCCGGGCUUAACCUGGGAAUGGCAUUCAAGACUGGUUAGCUAGAGUCUUGUAGAGGGGGUAGAAUUCCAUGUGUAGCGGUGAAAUGCGUAGAGAUGUGGAGGAAUACCGGUGGCGAAGGCGGCCCCUGGACAAAGACUGACGCUCAUGUGCGAAAGCGUGGGGAGCAAAC
rnacentral:rRNA from 1 species